CCUACGGGUGGCAGCAGUGGGGGCUAUUGCACAAUGGGGGAAACCCUGAUGCAGCGACGCCGCGUGGGUGAAGAAGCGCCUCGGCGCGUAAAGCCCUGUCAGCAGGGAAGAAAAUGACGGUCCCUGAAGAAGACGCCCCGGCUAACUACGUGCCAGCAGCCGCGGUAAUACGUCUGGGGCAAGCGUUAUCCGGAUUUACUGGGUGUAAAGGGGGCGCAGGCGGCGAUGCAAGCCAGGAGUGAAAGCCCGGGGCCCAACCCCGGGACUGCACUUGGAACUGCGUGGCUAGAGUGCAGGAGGGGCAGGCGGAAUCCCUGGUGUAGCGGUGAAAUGCGUAGAUAUCAGGAGGAACACCGGUGGCGAAGGCGGCCUGCUGGACUGCAACUGACGUUGAGGCCCGAAAGCGUGGGGAGCAAACAGGAUUAGAUACCCUAGUAGUC
rnacentral:rRNA from 1 species